AGCUCCAAUAGCGUAUAUUAAAGUUGUUGCAGUUAAAAAGCUCGUAGUUGGAUUUCUGGUUGGACCGAUCGGUCCUUCACUUGAUGUUGGUACUUGAAUCGCGUCCGGCCAUCCUUGGGGAGAGCCUGCGUGGCAUUAAGUUGUCGUGCAGGGGAUCCCCAUCGUUUACUGUGAAGAAAUUAGAGUGUUCAAAGCAGGCUUACGCCGUUGAAUACAUUAGCAUGGAAUAAUAAGAUAGGACCUUGGUACUAUUUUGUUGGUUUGCGCACCAAGGUAAUGAUUAAUAGGGACAGUUGGGGGUAUUCGUAUUCAAUUGUCAGAGGUGAAAUUCUUGGAUUUCUGGAAGACGAACUACUGCGAAAGCAUUUACCAAGGAUGUUUUCAUUAAUCAAGAACGAAA
rnacentral:rRNA from 1 species